CAAUUUAAACAACGAAGAGUUUGAUCCUGGCUCAGGAUGAACGCUAGCGACAGGCUUAACACAUGCAAGUCGAGGGGCAGCACAGGUAGCAAUACCGGGUGGCGACCGGCGCACGGGUGAGUAACGCGUAUGCAACUUACCUAUCAGAGGGGGAUAACCCGGCGAAAGUCGGACUAAUACCGCAUGAAGCAGGGGCCCCGCAUGGGGAUAUUUGCUAAAGAUUCAUCGCUGAUAGAUAGGCAUGCGUUCCAUUAGGCAGUUGGCGGGGUAACGGCCCACCAAACCGACGAUGGAUAGGGGUUCUGAGAGGAAGGUCCCCCACAUUGGUACUGAGACACGGACCAAACUCCUACGGGAGGCAGCAGUGAGGAAUAUUGGUCAAUGGCCGAGAGGCUGAACCAGCCAAGUCGCGUGAGGGAUGAAGGUUCUAUGGAUCGUAAACCUCUUUUAUAAGGGAAUAAAGUGCGGGACGUGUCCCGUUUUGUAUGUACCUUAUGAAUAAGGAUCGGCUAACUCCGUGCCAGCAGCCGCGGUAAUACGGAGGAUCCGAGCGUUAUCCGGAUUUAUUGGGUUUAAAGGGUGCGUAGGCGGCCUUUUAAGUCAGCGGUGAAAGUCUGUGGCUCAACCAUAGAAUUGCCGUUGAAACUGGGGGCUUGAGUAUGUUUGAGGCAGGCGGAAUGCGUGGUGUAGCGGUGAAAUGCAUAGAUAUCACGCAGAACCCCGAUUGCGAAGGCAGCCUGCCAAGCCAUUACUGACGCUGAUGCACGAAAGCGUGGGGAUCAAACAGGAUUAGAUACCCUGGUAGUCCACGCAGUAAACGAUGAUCACUAGCUGUUUGCGAUACACUGUAAGCGGCACAGCGAAAGCGUUAAGUGAUCCACCUGGGGAGUACGCCGGCAACGGUGAAACUCAAAGGAAUUGACGGGGGCCCGCACAAGCGGAGGAACAUGUGGUUUAAUUCGAUGAUACGCGAGGAACCUUACCCGGGUUUGAACGCAUUCGGACCGAGGUGGAAACACCUUUUCUAGCAAUAGCCGUUUGCGAGGUGCUGCAUGGUUGUCGUCAGCUCGUGCCGUGAGGUGUCGGCUUAAGUGCCAUAACGAGCGCAACCCUUGCCACUAGUUACUAACAGGUAAAGCUGAGGACUCUGGUGGGACUGCCAGCGUAAGCUGCGAGGAAGGCGGGGAUGACGUCAAAUCAGCACGGCCCUUACAUCCGGGGCGACACACGUGUUACAAUGGCGUGGACAAAGGGAGGCCACCUGGCGACAGGGAGCGAAUCCCCAAACCACGUCUCAGUUCGGAUCGGAGUCUGCAACCCGACUCCGUGAAGCUGGAUUCGCUAGUAAUCGCGCAUCAGCCAUGGCGCGGUGAAUACGUUCCCGGGCCUUGUACACACCGCCCGUCAAGCCAUGGGAGCCGGGGGUACCUGAAGUCCGUAACCGCGAGGAUCGGCCUAGGGUAAAACUGGUGACUGGGGCUAAGUCGUAACAAGGUAGCCGUACCGGAAGGUGCGGCUGGAACACCUCCUUUCUGGAGC
rnacentral:rRNA from 1 species